rnacentral:lncRNA from 1 species
AAAUGUUGGAAAUGUAAAGAAACUGAAGGUACAUUUUUUCACCUUUGGUGGACGUGCCCAAAGAUUAAGGCUUUCUGGGAAAUGAUAUAUAAUGAAUUAAAAAAGGUAUUUAAGUAUACCUUCCCUAAGAAACCAGAGGCCUUUCUCCUGGGCAUAGUCGGCCAAAUGGUGUUAAAAAAGGAUAGAACUUUCUUUAUGUAUGCAACAACAGCAGCAAGAAUACUCAUCGCAAAGUACUGGAAGACACAAGAACUUCCCACGCUGGAGGAAUGGCAGAUGAAAUUUAUGGAUUAUAUGGAACUGGCUGAAAUGACUGGUAGAAUCCGUGACCAGGGAGAAGAGUCGAUGGAGGAAGACUGGAAGAAAUUCAAAGACUAUCUUCAGAAACACUGCAAAAUUAAGGAAUGUUAGAGUGAUGUUGGACUGAAAACAAGUGGUUUCCAGCUGCACAGGCUAAAGUUAAGGAUAGAUUAAGAUUAAAGAUCAAGAUUAAAGAUGUUUAAAGAAAUGGAAAUUUGAUAUUAAAAGGGAAAACUUUAAAGUUAUAUGAUAUUAAGACAUUAAGAUUAAGGAUUAGGUUUAAAAAAGUUGAAGUUAUAUAUUUUAACAUUUUAUUAAAUUAAAGAUUGGGAUUAAAAAAGUGGAAAAGAAACUGCUGGACAAAUAAUGUGGACUGGAAUACAAAAGAGGGAGGUAUGAGGAAGUCUAGAAAAUAAGUAAUUUAAAAUUGGAAAUGGAAAAGAGAGUUUGUUUUUAAUUGUUGUGUUUUGUGUUUUUAUUGUUAAGUUUUGUAUUGUUUUUUGUGUGUGUUGUUUUGUUGUUUAAAACUUU